rnacentral:rRNA from 1 species
GGCUCAGAUUGAACGCUGGCGGCAUGCCUUACACAUGCAAGUCGAACGUAACGCGGGGCAACCUGGCGACGAGUGGCGAACGGGUGAGUAAUAUAUCGGAACGUGCCCAGUAGGUGGGGGAUAGCCCGGCGAAAGCCGGAUUAAUACCGCAUGAGACCUGAGGGUGAAAGCGGGGGAUCGCAAGACCUCGCGCUAUUGGAGCGGCCGAUAUUAGAUUAGGUAGUUGGUGGGGUAAAGGCCUACCAAGCCGACGAUCUGUAGCUGGUCUGAGAGGACGACCAGCCACACUGGGACUGAGACACGGCCCAGACUCCUACGGGAGGCAGCAGUGAGGAAUAUUGGACAAUGGGCGAAAGCCUGAUCCAGCAAUGCCGCGUGUGUGAAGAAGGCCUGAGGGUUGUAAAGCACUUUCAAUCGUGAAGAAAAGUUGCAGGCUAAUACCCUGUGACCUUGACGUUAACGAUACAAGAAGCACCGGCUAACUCCGUG